rnacentral:rRNA from 1 species
UGGUCAGGGGGCAACCUUGAAGCUAGGCGACCGAAGCCCCGGUGAACGGCGGCCGUAACUAUAACGGUCCUAAGGUAGCGAAAUUCCUUGUUCGGGUAAGUUCCGACCCGCACGAAAGGCAUCACGAUCUGGGCAGUGUCUCGACCAGGGGCUCGGUGAAAUUGCGAUAACGGUUAGGACGCCGUUAACUUGUAGCAGGACAAAAAGACCCCGUGGAGCUUUACUCCAGCUUGUCAUUGUGAUUUAUCCCAGUCUGCGUAGGAUAGGUGGGAGCCGAUGAAGUUGCCCUUGCGGGGGUGAUGGAGGCAACGGUGAAAUACCACUCUGACUGUGAUGACUCACUCACCCCUGAUGAAGGGGAACCGUGACUGGUGGGGAGUUUGACUGGGGCGGUCGCCUCCCAAAAGGUAACGGAGGCGCGCAAUGGUUCCCUCAGCCGGGAUGGUAACCCGGCGAUGAGUGCAAAGGCAUAAGGGAGCUUGACUGCAAGGGGGACACCCCGCGCAGGGAGGAAACUCGGCCUUAGUGAUCCUACAGCGCCGUGUGGAAGGGCUGUAGCUUAACGGAUAAAAGCUACCCC